GCCAGGGUCCAUGACUGAGGACAGAGUUUUCCUGUGUAGAUUUUUUUCUGCAGCAAACAUUUGCACUGAGCUGUAGGAAUAGACUGGGCAUGGCCACCAUUUUUCCAAUUCCAGUGGGAUUAUCCGGGCAAAAACUUCAGAAAACUUGUGGGAUUCUAGAGUAGGCCGAACAGGCUCAUGACACAUUCCCUGUCCUUACCAGACGCCAAGCACUGCAUCCUGUCUGCUUCUUGAACAGCCCCUUCAUUGUUUGUUCAGCUAUUCUGCUGCAUCUGCAGAUAGCCCUGCCUGAGAAACAGCCUCAAACCAGAAGGAGAGGAUGGCGGCAAGCCUUAGAGAAACAUAGCCAGUUGGAGUGUGAGGCUUCAGAAUCGCCUUCCAACUCUCUGUGCACUGCACCAGCUGCUUCCCAUAGACUCCU
rnacentral:lncRNA from 10 species